GGGAGCCGGGUGAGGCGAGAGUCUCACGCCCGGUUCUGGGAGAGGCCGAGGGUGAAACUCCCUCGGCCUACUCGCC
rnacentral:ncRNA from 1 species